ACAAAACAUUAAAGGAGGUCAGUUGUUCAAAGCGACAAAACGGCUCAGAUAAUAUGGGAAAACAUUUAUUUCUUUCUUGCAGUUAAUAAUCCCGUUUGGCUUUGGGGAAAAGCUGCCUGAUUUGGAGGCAUAGCAAAGAUCAAAGUGAGCGGGUUGCUGGGCUGUGCACAUCAGCAGAUUGUGAAGAUAAACACAGAUGUGUUUCCACGCAGAUUUGCAUAAGGUUGCCCUUCAUUCUUGUCCAAAAGUGUUGACUCGAAAUGACUGGACAGGAGAUUUAACUUUCAUCACAAUUAGGAGAGCUGCCAUAGUUUCUGCUGAAGAGGCAUUGCCCCUCCAUUUGUGCUCAGAGGACUAA
rnacentral:lncRNA from 1 species